CUGAAGUGCAAGCUGUAGAGACUGUGAGAAUGUGCUUCACCAUUCCAGUUCAGUAAGUGCUAUACAGUGAAUGCAUCAAUCCCGCUGGACAACUGCUGUUUACUAGACAGAGCACCGUUCAGGAUUCGGUGUAUUCUCUACACACGUGCUCAGAACAGAGAGUGAUCCUUCUGGAUAGGCUGCCUUGCUGUUUGAAGGAGGGAGACUUCUAUUUGCACUAUCAAAUACCAGUUGUUAAUCCAGGCCCUGCUUCCAUGAUUACCUCACAGCUCAGACUGCUGCUUCAAAACCAGCCAGAAAGAACAUCAGUAGCUCCGAGCUGGCCACCAUCACACUAAUCCAUGAAGCCUGUUUGAAUUUAAACAUCGCUGAUUAUCGCCAGUCAGACAGUCUAAGUACAGAAAGCCAAUCAUGUUGCAGCAUCAUUCGUUUCACGGAUCUUCGUGUUGCAGUCUCCAACCAGGAAUCAUCUGGACUGAACUCCACCAUGAAGGAAGCACCAUGUGGACUUUGACUUCUCAGACUCUUGAAAUCACAUGAACUAACAUUCAUUUCUGUGGUUUGUACUGUUGUUGCCCAUGAUUGUGAAUCUUCCUCUUAUCUAUCCCUCCUUACUCUCUCUCUCUCUCUCUCUCUCUAUAUGUGUGUGUAUAUGUGU